rnacentral:SRP_RNA from 1 species
CCGUGCUAGAUGGGGAGGUAGCGGUGCCCUGUAACCUGCAAGCCGCUAUAGCAGGAUUGAAUUCCUGGUUUCGGCUUGUCAUUGUAAGGUCUGCCCUAAAUAAGUGGCGGUGACGAUUGGGUCCUACGCAACGGAAAUUCAUGAACCCCGUCAGGUCCGGGAGGAAGCAGCGGUAAGUGAACACUUUCGUGUGCCGUAGGUAAGCCUAAUCUGAGUUAACUGUUUAGGUAACGCUUGGAAUGACAAUGCCAACGCCAGGUGCACGG